rnacentral:rRNA from 1 species
UACGGGGGGGGCAAGCGUUGUUCGGAAUUACUGGGCGUAAAGGGCUCGUAGGCGGCCAACUAAGUCAGACGUGAAAUCCCUCGGCUUAACCGGGGAACUGCGUCUGAUACUGGAUGGCUAGAGGUUGGGAGAGGGAUGCGGAAUUCCAGGUGUAGCGGUGAAAUACGUAGAUAUCUGGAGGAACACCGGUGGCGAAGGCGGCAUCCUGGACCAAUUCUGACGCUGAGGAGCGAAAGCCAGGGGAGCAAACGGG